rfam:Tupaia chinensis contig22119, whole genome shotgun sequence.
GUACUUGCUUCGGCAGCACAAACACUAAAACUGGAACAACGCAGAGAAGAUUAGCAUGGCCCCAGUGUAAGGAUGACAUGCAAAUUUGUGAAGCAUUCUAUAUUUUA